CCAAAGGCUCUUUUCAGAGCCAUCCACGCUUUCCAAAGAGAGCUGG
rfam:Sus scrofa chromosome 7.